rnacentral:lncRNA from 1 species
CCUGAGGUCCCCCUGGCAGGGCUCAGGAGGCUUCUCCUGGACCGCCUCGUCUUUGCACCGGCCUUCCUCAUGUUGUUCUUCCUCAUCAUGAACUUUCUGGAGUUCCGGGUGCUCUUCGCCAACCUGGCAGCUCUGUUCUGGUAUGCCUACCUGGCCUCCUUGGGGAAGUGACGACCGCUGGGAGAACAUCAGGUGCACUGUGGACGUGGGUCUGGGGGUCUCACCCGCCCAGCGAGAGCAGAACCAAUCCAGUCAGGAUGUCACUGACUCUAAAUCAGGUGAUUCAAGAUGCCCAAAAAUGAUGGAUAGAGAAACAGAAAUCUCUGAAUGUCAGAACCCUGUCUUUUAAAAAGGCAGUCGCUGCCUUCAGGUGGUGCUGCCCCA